rnacentral:rRNA from 1 species
UAUUAUUACACAUUAAAGUCGAACGGUAACAGGCCGCGCUCAUCCUUCGGGGUGUUGUGGUGCUGACGAGUGGCGGACGCGUGAGUAAUGCUUAGGUACUACCCAGAAGUGGGGGACAACCCGAGGAAACCAGGGCUAAUACCGUUUAAGCCCUCGGGGGAAAGCGGGGGACUCUUCGGAGCCUCGCGCUUUUGGAUGAGCCUAAGUCGGAUUAGCUUGUAUGGUGAGGUAAAAGCUCACCAUGGCGACGAUCCGUAGUAUGGUCUGAGAGGACGAUCCGCCACACUGGGACUGAGACACGGCCCAUACUCCUACGGGAGGCAGCAGUGGGGAAUAUGGACAAUGGGGGCAACCCUGAUCCAGCAAUGCCGCGUGUGUGAUGAAGGCCUGCGGGUUGUAAAGCACUUUCAGUAGAGAAGAAAAGCUCGAGGUCCAUACCCUCGGGUCUUCCGUAACCUAAAGAAGAAGCACCGGCUAACUCCGUGCCAGCAGCCGCGGUUAUUACGGAGGGUGCGACCGUUAAUCGGAAUUACUGGGCGUAAAGCGCGCGCAGGCGGCUGGGUCAGUCGGAUGUGAAAGCCCCGGGCUUAACCUGGGAAUUGCAUUCGAUACUGCCCGGUUUUAGAGUAUGGGAGAGGGAAGUGGAAUUUCCAUCGUAGCGGUGAAAUAGGCGUAGAUAUCGGAAGGAACACCAGUGGCGCCAGGCGGCUUCCUGGCCCAAUACUGACGCUCAGGUGCGAAAUUUGGGGAGCGAACAGGAUUGGAUACCCUGGUAGUCCACGCUGUAAACGAUGAGAACUAGAUGUUGGGAGGGUUUGCCUCUCAGUGUCGCAGCUAACGCGUUAAGUUCUCCGCCUGGGGAGUACGACCGCAAGGUUGAAACUCAAACAGGAAUUGACGGGGACCCGCACAAGCGGUGGAGCAUGUGGUUUAAUUCGAUGUACCCGCGAAGAACCUUACCUGCCCUUGACAUCCUCGGAACUUUCCAGUACCUGGAUUUUGCCUUCGGGAACCGAGUGACAGGUGCUGCAUGGCUGUCGUCAGCUCGUGUCGUGAGAUGUUGGGUUAAGUCCCGCAACGAGCGCAACCCUAUCCCCCUAGUUGCCAGCACUUCGGGUGGGCACUCUAGGGAGACCGCCGGUGACAAAUAGGAGGAAGCCGGGACGACGUCAAGUCAUUUUGGCCCUUAUGGGCAGGGCUACACCCACGUACUACAAUGGCCAGUACAAAGGGUUGCCAAGCCGCAAGGUGGAGCUAAUCCCUAUGAAAGCUGGUCUGUCCGGAUCGGAGUCUGCAACUCGACUCCGUGAAGUUGGAAUCGCUAGUAAUCGCGAAAUCAGCAUUGUCGCGGUGAAUACGUUCCCGGGUCUUUAACACACCGCCCGUCACACCAUGGAAGUUGGUUGUAUAUAA